CGCGUAGGCGGACCAACAAGUCGGAUGUGAAAACUGGCGGCUUAACUGCCAGCCUGCACUCGAAACUGUUGGUCUUGAGUACAGUAGAGGAAAGCGGAAUUCCAGGUGUAGCGGUGAAAUGCGUAGAUAUCUGGAAGAACACCAGUAGCGAAGGCGGCUUUCUGGGCUGAUACUGACGCUGAAGCGCGAAGGCUUGGGUAGCAAACAGGAUUAGAUACCCUGGUAGUCC
rnacentral:rRNA from 1 species